GGAGGGUAUAGCUCAGUGGUAGAGUGCAUGCUAAGCAUUCAUGAGGUCCUGGGUUCAAUCCCCAGUACCUCCU
rnacentral:tRNA from 1 species